GAAAUGCGAUAAGUAAUGUGAAUUGCAGAAUUCAGUGAAUCAUCGAAUCUUUGAACGCACAUUGCGCUCCUUGGUAUUCCUUGGAGCAUGCCUGUUUGAGUAUCAUGAAAUCUUCAAAGUAAAUCUUUUGUUAACUCAAUUGGUUUCUACUUUGGUAUUGGAGGUCUUUGCAGCUUCACACCUGCUCCUCUUUGUUCAUUAGCUGGAUCUCAGUGUUAUGCUUGGUUCCACUCGGCGUGAUAAGUUAUCUAUCGCUGAGGACACUGUAAAAGGUGGCCAAGGUAAAUGCAGAUGAACCGCUUCUAAUAGUCCAUUGACUUGGACAAUACUUUUAUGAUCUGAUCUCAAAUCAGGUAGGACUACCCGCUGAACUUUAGC
rnacentral:misc_RNA from 1 species